rnacentral:misc_RNA from 1 species
GAUGAAGAACGUAGCGAAAUGCGAUAAGUAGUGUGAAUUGCAGAAUUCAGUGAAUCAUCGAAUCUUUGAACGCACAUUGCGCCCUUUGGUAUUCCUUAGGGCAUGCCUGUUCGAGCGUCAUUUAAACCUUCAAGCUAAGCUUGGUGUUGGGUGACUGUCCGCUUCACUGCGGACUCGCCUCAAAAUUAUUGGCGGCCGGUACAUUGGCUUCGAGCGCAGCAGAAACGCGAACUCGGGCCCGUCGUAUUGGCUCCCAGAAGCUAUCUUCACAAUUUUGACCUCGGAUCAGGUAGGGAUACCCGCUGAACUUAAGCAUAUCAAUAAGCUGAGGA